CAAUUUGGAGAGCAUUAACAUCCUCACUCUAUUGAACCUGCCAAUCUAUGAACAUGGUAUGUCUCUUUAGAUUUUUUAUUUCUCCCUAAAUAUUUUGUAGUUUUCAGCAUACAAGUCCCGUACAUGUUUUGUUGAUUUACACCUAAAUAUUUCACCUUUUUGUGAACAACUGUAAAUGAUACUGUUUUUAUAACUUUGAUGUCCAUCUAUUCAUAGUAUAUAGAAAUACAAUAAUUUUUAUACAUGGACAAUCAUGUCCUCUGCAAAUAUAUCCUCUUUUCUAGUCUGUAUGCCUUUCAUUUCCUUUUGUUGUUGUUGUUGUUGUUGCUGUUGUCGUUGUUUUUUGCCUUACUUCAUUGUCUAGACCUUACAGCACUGUGCUGAAUAAGAGUAGUGAGAGUAGACACUUUGCCUUCUUACCAGGCUUAAGGAGAAACAUUCAGUCUUUCACCAUUAGGUAUGUUAGCUGUAGGGUGUUUUUUGUAGAUGUUCUUUAUCAGGUUGAGAAAGUGAUUCUUUAUUCCUAUUUUUCUGUGAGUCUUUAACAUGAAUGGGCAUUGAAUUUUGUCAAUGCUAUUUCCGCAUCAAUUUAUAUGAUCAUGUGAAUUUUCUUCUUUAGCCUAUUAAUAUGGUGGUUCCAUUCAUUGAUUUUUCAAAUAUUGAAUCAGCCUCGUAUCCCUAGGUUAUGGCGUACAAUUCCUCCUGUAUUUAGCUGAAUUCUACUUGCUAAUAUUUCAUUAUUGAUUUUUAUGUCUAUAUUCACAGGGACAUUGAUCUAUAGUUUUCUUUUUUGUACUGUCUUUGUCUGGUUUUGAUAUCAUGGUCAUACUCGUGUCAUACAGUGAAUUGAGAAGUGUUUUCCUGCUUCUUGUAUUUUCUGAUGGAGAAUGUACAGAGAUAGUGUUAAUUCUUCUUUAAACACUUGGUAGAAUUCCAGUGAAACCAUCUGGGUCUGGAGACUUCUUUUUUUGGGCGUUUUCAAAUUACAAAUUCAAUUUCCUUAACAGUUGUAGGCAUAUUCAAAUUUUCUAGCUCAUAUUAAGUGAGUCUUUGCGUUUUUCGAGGAAUUGGUCCAUUUUAUCUAAGUUGUCAAAAAAUGUGUUCUCAACAGCUUUUUAAAAUUCACUCUCCUCCAUUAGUUCCUCUCACAUUGAAAUAAGAUGCUGAUUCCCCCCACGCCUUCCCCACACUCAUUCAGGUCGCAGAGCUGAUAAAUGACAAAAAACCGUAUUCUGUAUCUCAACCCAGAGCCCGCAUUCUGGACCCUCAGGCAGAGCCCAGGAUGGGGCAGUCUCCAUGUAAAUUCAGUGUUUCAGGGAACCAGCUGGCCUUGGGCAUCUCUAAAGUGUCCUGCAGCCCAGGGCUGGAGACCCUCUCAGUCACCUAAACCUCCCUGGAGGAAGGGAGGUGGGAGCCCCUUCCUGGAGAUCAGAUUUGGGAACAAACUCUGGGGAGCCUGGGCACCACUAGGUGGCGCUCCGAACACACAGUUACCUGCAGCGGCCAGUGGUGGCUCUACGAGGCUCAGUUGGGCAAGCCCGGCCUGUGGGGCAUUUUGUUCUUUCUGGGAGAUGAACUCUAGAGCCUGGAGCCUGCAAGGGCCCCAGGAGCCCUGGGCUGGUGGAGUUUGCCAACCCUUUCUCAGACUUCCCUGUGGACAAAGGCGUGAAGUCUUGAGAGGGUGGUGCUGGGGGGCGGCUGUGAGGUACAGAAGCACCAAAGAGCAGCUGGAGAGACUACGUCCACACUGAGACAAGGCCGGCCACCCAGAGCCUCUGUCUGCUUAGGAAGCGGUGAUAACCCAGAGCUGGGCCCGGCGCAGAGUGCUGCAGAAUCCACCUCGUUCCCUUCCGGGCCUGCCUCAACACCCUCCACCAGCUCCAGCCCCCUGCAGAGUCCCACCGACCCCUCCCCCUCAUCAAGCAUACUCCAAGGCAAGAGUCCUCUGGAGUCAGCUGGAAGGUCCAAGAACUCCUUGGAUGGGAACCUGCACAUCCCAGGAGACACUUUGGCAAAGACUGUGUGCACCUGAUCUGGGUCAAAAGGAAACAGCCAAGCUGAACACCGUGCCCUUGGGGAAUGACAAAUGGAAUGUUCUCAGAAGCUGCAUUUGAACAACUGAUUGAGAUCGUGACCGAGGUUAACGGUCCUUUGCAAUUUGAUAAAGGCAUGGGUUUGCAUGA